UUCUUAUUGAAUGAUGAUGGUCAUAUGUUUUGAUUCUGAUUAGAUGUCAAUUCUAUAAAAGAUGAAAUGAAUUUUUAUUUUCAUUGAUCAAUAAAAAACAUGACAUGUGACAGUCAUUAUUA
rfam:Glycine soja cultivar W05 C25634425_1, whole genome shotgun sequence.